rnacentral:rRNA from 1 species
GUACACUCCUGCGGGAGGCAGCAGUGGGGAAUUUUGGACAAUGGGGGCAACCCUGAUCCAGCAAUGCCGCGUGAGUGAAGAAGGCCUUCGGGUUGUAAAGCUCUUUUGUCAGGGAAGAAACGGUGGUGGCGAAUAACUACUACUAAUGACGGUACCUGAAGAAUAAGCACCGGCUAACUACGUGCCAGCAGCCGCGGUAAUACGUAGGGUGCAAGCGUUAAUCGGAAUUACUGGGCGUAAAGCGUGCGCAGGCGGUUGUGUAAGUCAGAUGUGAAAUCCCCGGGCUCAACCUGGGAAUUGCAUUUGAGACUGCACGGCUAGAGUGUGUCAGAGGGGGGUAGAAUUCCACGUGUAGCAGUGAAAUGCGUAGAUAUGUGGAGGAAUACCGAUGGCGAAGGCAGCCCCCUGGGAUAACACUGACGCUCAUGCACGAAAGCGUGGGGAGCAAACAGGAUUAGAAACCCGAGUAGUCCCA